rnacentral:lncRNA from 1 species
AGAAGAUGGCAUGGUGGGCGAAGAAGGUACCAAGAUGGAGAAUCCAAGCGACGAAUAAAUCAGCGCAUGAACGGAAAGUAGAAAUGGCGCCACUUCUUUGGUGGCCCCGCUGUAGAAACUUAAAGAGCAGUGGUAGAUCGGUUCCUCUACAAGGGACGGCCCAUGCUCUGUGUGAUCAUCUGGUCGUGUAGCCGUGGUCUUUCUUGAACGCUGCUGCGAUGAGUGGGCUCCAGCACUCAGGAAUUGUUGCAACCUGUUUAACUACCUUAUUAAUGUAAGAGCGUCCACAUGAAAAUUUCAUCGUUUUUGCUUGUGCUGGGAUGUUUUGCUGACAUGAAGUACCUGCGGGAGAAUGAGUUGUUGGCAUGGAAGAAACUUGUAUAGAAAUGUCUUCUUAAUGCGUUAUGAAACGGACUGCACUCUGCGAGGUCUUUAGUGAUCUACAUGCUCUUAUAUUUCUUUAUGAAGGGAGUGAGUACAUCACUGACUCUUUUUUCAGUUGGGUGGACACUGAGGGCCUCUUUGAUUUGAAGGAUUUUGAAAACGCAGGAACAGGAAAAAUAGAGGGUUGGAGUGACAUUUCCAUUUGAACCCUAUAGGAUUAGGAAGGAGUGUUUGAUGCC